AUUGAACGCUGGCGGCAUGCCUUACACAUGCAAGUCGAACGGCAGCACGGGAGCAAUCCUGGUGGCGAGUGGCGAACGGGUGAGUAAUAUAUCGGAACGUGCCCAGUCGUGGGGGAUAACGUAGCGAAAGCUACGCUAAUACCGCAUACGAUCUACGGAUGAAAGCGGGGGAUCGCAAGACCUCGCGCGAUUGGAGCGGCCGACAUCAGAUUAGGUAGUUGGUGAGGUAAAGGCUCACCAAGCCGACGAUCUGUAGCUGGUCUGAGAGGACGACCAGCCACACUGGGACUGAGACACGGCCCAGACUCCUACGGGAGGCAGCAGUGGGGAAUUUUGGACAAUGGGCGCAAGCCUGAUCCAGCAAUGCCGCGUGCAGGAUGAAGGCCUCGGUUGUAACGUUAGUC
rnacentral:rRNA from 1 species